rnacentral:rRNA from 1 species
AACGAACGCUGGCGGCAUGCCUAACACAUGCAAGUCGAACGAUCCCUUCGGGGAUAUUGGCGCACGGGUGCGUAACGCGUGGGAACCUGCCCUUAGGUUCGGAAUAACUCAGAGAAAUUUGAGCUAAUACCGGAUAAUGUCUUCGGACCAAAGAUUUAUCGCCUUUGGAUGGGCCCGCGUUGGAUUAGCUAGUUGGUGGGGUAAAGGCCUACCAAGGCGACGAUCCAUAGCUGGUCUGAGAGGAUGAUCAGCCACACUGGGACUGAGACACGGCCCAGACUCCUACGGGAGGCAGCAGUGGGGAAUAUUGGACAAUGGGCGAAAGCAUGAUCCAGCAAUGCCGCGUGAGUGAUGAAGGCCUUAGGGUUGUAAAGCUCUUUUACCCGGGAUGAUAAUGACAGUACCGGGAGAAUAAGCCCCGGCUAACUCCGUG